rnacentral:rRNA from 1 species
UACGUAGGGGGCAAACGUUGUCCGGAAUUAUUGGGCGUAAAGAGCUCGUAGGCGGUCUGUCGCGUCGGCUGUGAAAUCCCGAGGCUCAACCUCGGGUCUGCAGUCGAUACGGGCAAACUAGAGUAUUGCAGGGGAGACUGGAAUUCCUGGUGUAGCGGUGAAAUGCGCAGAUAUCAGGAGGAACACCGGUGGCGAAGGCGGGUCUCUGGGCAAUAACUGACGCUGAGGAGCGAAAGCGUGGGGAGCGAACAGG